rnacentral:lncRNA from 1 species
AGAUCCCAAUGAAACUGAGAACUGAGGAACUUCAUAAUGAGAUCCCAAUUAAACAGUUUAAAACAAUCCCAAUUAAACAGUUUAAAACAAUCCCAAUUAAACAGUUUAAAACAAGGACUUCAUCAUGAGAUCCCAAUGAAAAAUUGAAAAACGAGGACCUCAUGACCACAGAGAUCUCAAUGAAAAAGUGAAAACCCAGGACUUCAUGACAAGAUCCCAAUUAAAAAAUAUUUUGUCUCAUAGAUUCAUGCGACAAUGUAACUUUUUUAGUUCAUUGCAACACACAAACUUACAGCGCCGUAAUUUAAAUUUCUUGAUUACUUUUAUAACUAUUUUUAUCUGCAUUUUAACUUUUAAAAGCCUGAAGUUUCCUUUACUUAGCUUAACGUGUGUCUGCUUUAAACCACACAUCCACAUUCUCACUUCUGAGUUGAGUGAGUUUCUAAAUUUAAGUUCUAAACACCGUGUCUGGAAUGCCAGUGCAAUUCCAAUGCCAUUUAUUCCACAGGGAAAGCCCAGGGAGGGGAUGCUCCUUUCAGGAGAGCUGCAGGCUGCGGGUCUGCACUCAAGGCCAGGUCGUUGAUUGCUGUGGAUUCAAACACGGAUUGCUCUUGGGCACAUCACACACCCAGCUCUGGGUUAUGCAGAACUGCUGCACUUUCCAUUUUCGGUGUAUUUUGGAGUUUCAGAACAAAUUACAGCUGCCUCUUUUCUAUCAGACCCCUGUGUCUGGAAUACCAGUGCAAUUCCAAUGCCAUUUAUUCCACAGGGAGGGGAUGCUCCUUUCCCUGACCAGGAGAGCUGCAGGCUCUGGGUCUGCACUCAAGGCCAGGUCACUGCUGUGGAUUCAAACACGGAUUGCUCUUGGCCAUGUCACGCUGGGUUAUGCAGAGCUGCUGCACUUUCCAUUUAUAGUGUAUUUUGGAGUUUCAGAACAAAUUACAGCUGCUUCUUUUCUAUCAGACCCCUGUGUCCUGGCUUAGCCUGCUCCCCUCUCCUCAAAGCCUGGGUACAAAUCACCCGGUGAUCCUGACUGCUAAUGAAACCUGGAUUAAAUUAGCGUGCCGCUCAGUUGUCAGUGUUCUCAGUGGGUUUAUCUCCCUGUGGGAUCUCAG